UACGAAGGGGGCUAGCGUUGCUCGGAAUCACUGGGCGUAAAGGGUGCGUAGGCGGGUUUUUAAGUCAGAGGUGAAAUCCUGGGAGCUCAACUCCAGAACUGCCUUUGAUACUGAAAGUCUUGAGUAUGGGAGAGGUGAGUGGAACUGCGAGUGUAGAGGUGAAAUUCGUAGAUAUUCGCAAGAACACCAGUGGCGAAGGCGGACUCACUG
rnacentral:rRNA from 1 species